AGAAUGAAUCACAUUUGAGUGACUGUUUCACCACACCUUUGCUGGCAUUGGGUAUUAUCCAUUUUUUAUAGCUUCUUUCUCUUUUGCUUCCCUCCGAUAAUGGGUAUGCCAAGGAAAAAAGAGAGAAUCCCAGAGCUGUUUAUGGAGCCUUCACUUUAACCACCUGACUCAGCUAAGUCUAUACCUAAACACUUGAGGACAGCAGGUUUUGAUCUGAUUAGUUGAACUGUCUGGCAGAAUUAAGCUAUCAGUAUAGUUACCACGCCUCUUUAGUGAUCUCAUCCUCCUGCCAUUCAAAAAGUAGGAACUGAGCACCCAGAUCCUGUGGUAGGGUUUGCGAAGAUGUAGAAGUCCUGGUCUCUGCCCUCAAAGAUCCUGUAUUUUGGACAAAGCCAGAUAUUCAGAUGGUAUUACAAACACAGUGUUCAUUUGAUCAGUUACUUCAAUUCUCUGGGGUUCGGGUUACUCAUCUGGGAACUGGGGCGUCCCAUCUUCUAGCACCAAUAUUCUGCGUGCUUCCACAAUCCCCUCCUCUGCCUCACACUGUCCCUCUCCUCCCCAAAACAAACCCCGUCCUCCAAAUGCACACUUACAUAGUCACUAUGAUCGAUAGAUUUUAUCCUCAUGCCCACCUCUCAAGCACUGCCAUUUGUACACUAGCUCACUUAUUUCUCACAACGCUAUUGAGAUUGUUAUUUUAAUCCCCACUUCCUAGAUAGUGACAUGGAGACUCAAGGAGGGUUUUGCCAAAGGUCCUAAAAAAUGGGAUCAAGGCUGAGCCCAGGUCAGUGGGGCCCUAAAUGUGUGCCCUUCCAUUGAUUGCCACAGACACCCUCAGCCUCCUUUCCUGUCCCCUGCCUGUCUUCUGCAGUGACUCCCCUAUCCUUCCCCUUGCAUUUUCUAAAUCUUGUCCAUCCAUCAAGGGCCAGCUGGACCCCCUGACAUCUGCCAGUGCUCCCAGGAUGUGAUGUCUCUGAGGACCUGAACCACGGCCUUUGAUGGACUGUGCACAAGCACACCUGGACCCUCUGAGCACAUCUUGCCCCCGAGAAGGACGCUUGGCUGAGGAGUAAAGUAGUGAGAGCUGUGCCUCCCUCACUGCCCUCAGACCUGCUGUGAACAUUAUUUUUAAAGCCAACAGUGAAGCCCUGCCCUGCCACCGGACCACCUUGCCCUCCGUACACGCAGAUGCCGCUGCUCCGAGCCAGCCUGCCUCCCUCCCCGCAGGCUUGGCGAAGGAAGCCACUGGGAGGGCUGCGAGCCUGGUCUCCGUGGACCCUCCGUGCGCCGCCACGUUCCAGAGCGCAGUGCUGAAAGGGACGCAAACGGAGGAUUCUGCAAAAUUCUGCCCAGCAAGCUGUGAAGCCAGCAGAGUUUAGUCUCUCAGCCAGCUAGGAAGGGUGAUCCUCUGUCGUGAUGCCUGGUGGCAGCAGUGAGCAGCCGCUUCCAGACAGCCACACGAUCUUUUCUGGGAGGCUUGAGGAAACUCAUUUCAAGAUUUUUAUGUUUAUGCGAAAAACUUCACUCCUGUCAUAUACACAAGCAAGCCCAGUUGCCAUCUGCACUUUACUGAAGGUCAUUCAGACUAAGAGUGAAUUAAGUGCCUACUCGAGGCCUUUGCGACCCUCCCACCUUCCGUGGGCAGUUAGCGCUAGAAUCCUACACCCUCAGAGAAAGGGACCUCAAGAGCUGCCGGGCCCAAACUCCCCAAAUUCCUGAUGGAGAAAAAGAGCUUUGGCUUUUGUCAUUAUUCCUUGUCAUGAGAUGCAACAAAUUAGUCCCUUUCUGUCAAAGACUUCACCCCCAUACGCUAUCAUGGCAGCCCCUAAACAAUUAUGUCUAGGUCAUCUAAAGAAUAUUGACUGGUAGCUCACGCCCAGGGAAGAAUCUCCCUAGGAGGCCAGAGGGGAUUUUGGCCAAAGCUCCCUUACCCUUCAGCUGUGUCCUGAGGCAAGAGAAAGGGGGCUGCCCGUGGGUUUCCCUGAGGAGCAGGAGGGAGAGUGUGUGUCCCGGAAGCCCUCUGCCCAGCCGGGCUGGCUGUGGUGUGGGGGAAGGGACACUGUGGGGUCUGCCCUGCGGGGAGGGUGGCUUUCUCAGCCCCCCAGAGCAGACUGGAGGCGUCCUUGACUCCGAAUGGGGGCUCAGGACCCAGCCUGCAGGCCAGAGUGCCAUCCCCUAGGAAUACACAGCUCUUCCCCUCUGUCUGUCUCCUCCAGCUCCAUCUAGAAUUGUGAGAAAGAGCAGGAGACCUGGGGUGAGCCCCAGCGGGUGCCUCAGAGGGAGGCUUCGGUGGGAGUGACUGCCUUUGCACUCCACUUUGGGGCCCUGCGCUGUUUGGUCCUGGCACCCGCCACCGGGCAGGAAUGCACCAGGCUUCAAAGGAGGCCCUAAAGCGGAGCGUUAAGCAGAUUGACGGAAGCUACUAAAGAACUCAGCCUGGAGCAAUCAGCAACUUUCCUCAGACUGCUGAGAGCCCAGCAAGCCGAGAAGGGAUGAAAGUCUCCACUAACCGGGAGGGAAACACAAACACCCAAGAGUGGAUUCUAUAGACAGUAAUAUGACCGAGUUCAUAGAAAAAUUGUAUUACCAUUUGAAGUCACUGAAGCUGUUUCCAGCUGUGUUGGGAGAGAUACUGCUGCCCCCAGGGAAAAAUGACCUAAUAUGGUAAAAGUGAACGUAAUACCAUACAUAUUAUCCUGGAACAAAAUAAAUAGAAUAAUAUGC